GAUGAACGCUGGCGGCGUGCCUAAUACAUGCAAGUCGAGCGAACAGAUAAGGAGCUUGCUCCUUUGACGUUAGCGGCGGACGGGUGAGUAACACGUGGGUAACCUACCUAUAAGACUGGGAUAACUUCGGGAAACCGGAGCUAAUACCGGAUAAUAUUUCGAACCGCAUGGUUCGAUAGUGAAAGAUGGUUUUGCUAUCACUUAUAGAUGGACCCGCGCCGUAUUAGCUAGUUGGUAAGGUAACGGCUUACCAAGGCGACGAUACGUAGCCGACCUGAGAGGGUGAUCGGCCACCCUGGAACUGAGACACGGUCCAGACUCCUACGGGAGGCAGCAGUAGGGAAUCUUCCGCAAUGGGCGAAAGCCUGACGGAGCAACGCCGCGUGAGUGAUGAAGGUCUUCGGAUCGUAAAACUCUGUUAUUAGGGAAGAACAUACGUGUAAGUAACUGUGCACGUCUUGACGGUACCUAAUCAGAAAGCCACGGCUAACUACGUG
rnacentral:rRNA from 1 species